rnacentral:rRNA from 1 species
GCUCUUCCGAUCUGUAUGUGGUGGAUGCCUUGGCGAUCACAGGCGAUGAAGGACGUGACAGCCUGCGAAAAGCUGUGGGGAGCUGGCAAAUAAGCUUUGAUCCACAGAUGUCCGAAUGAGGGAACUCACCUGCUUUGCAGGUAUCCCAUCCUGAAUAUAUAGGGAUGGGAGGCGAACGAAGCGAACUGAAACAUCUAAGUAGCUUCAGGAAAAGAAAUCAACCGAGAUUCCGAAAGUAGCGGCGAGCGAAAUCGGAUCAGCCCAGCACUCGAUAGCAGCCAACUUACGGGAACGGUCUGGAAAGUCCGGCCAUAGAGGGUGAUAGCCCCUUACUGGAAAAGGCAGCUGUGGUACUAAGUGUGCGAUAAGUAGAGCGGGACACGUGACAUCCUGCUCGAAGAUGGGGGGACCAUCCUCCAAGGCUAAAUACUCGUGAUCGACCGAUAGCGUACCAGUACUGUGAAGGAAAGGUUAAAAGAACCCCGGGAGGGGAGUGAAAUAGAUCCUGAAACCGCAUACAUACAAACAGUAGGAGCCUCGUUAAGGGGUGACUGCGUACCUUUUGCAUAAUGGGUCAGCGACUUACGUUUAAUGGCGAGCUUAACCGUAUAGGGGAGGCGCAGCGAAAGCGAGUUCGAACAGAGCGUUCAGUCGUUAGGCGUAGACCCGAAACCAGAUGAUCUAUCCAUGGCCAGGUUGAAGGUGUGGUAACACACACUGGAGGACCGAACCGACUAGUGUUGCAAAAUUAGCGGAUGAGCUGUGGAUAGGGGUGAAAGGCUAAACAAAUCUGGAGAUAGCUGGUUCUCCCCGAAAACUAUUGAGGUAGUGCCUCGUGUAUGACUCCAGGGGGUAGAGCACUGUUAUGGCUAGGGGGACAUGGCGUCUUACCAAACCAUGGCAAACUCCGAAUACUUGGAAGUUUGAGCACGGGAGACAGAGCACCGGGUGCUAACGUCCGGACUCAAGAGGGAAACAACCCAGACCGCCGGCUAAGGUCCCUAAUAUUGACUAAGUGGAAAACGAAGUGGAAAGGCUAAGACAGUCAGGAAGUUGGCUUAGAAGCAGCCAUCCUUCAAAGAAAGCGUAAUAGCUCACUGAUCGAGUCUUUCUGCGCGGAAGAUGUAACGGGGCUAAGUCAAUAACCGAAGCCGCGGAUUCACACUUAUGUGUGAGUGGUAGGGGAGCGUUCUGUAAGCCUGCGAAGGUGACUCGUAAGGGUUGCUGGAGGUAUCAGAAGUGCGAAUGCUGACAUGAGUAACGUUAAAGCGGGUGAAAAGCCCGCUCGCCGUAAGCCCAAGGUUUCCUGCUCUACGUUCAUCGGAGCAGGGUGAGUCGGCCCCUAAGGUGAGGCUGAGAAGCGUAACUGAUGGGAACAAGGUUAAUAUUCCUUGACCACCGCUGAAUGCGAAGGGGGGACGGAGUAUUGAAGAUCAUCCGGGUGUUGGAUAUCCCGGUUUGCGAGCGUAGGAGGCUGACAGGCAAAUCCGUCAGCGAAUCUCCGAGGCGAAGCAUCGAGCUCUCUUUUGAGCGAAGUGAUUGGAUGUGCUUCCAGGAAAAGCCUCUAAGCUCCAGUUCAGCGGGACCGUACCGCAAACCGACACUGGUGGGCGAGCUGAAUAUGCUCAGGCGCUUGAGAGAACUCAGGAGAAGGAACUCGGCAAAUUGACACCGUAACUUCGGGAUAAGGUGUGCCUUUGUAGCGUGGAGGGAGAAACACCCCGAGCGCGAAGAGGUCUCAGAUAAUCGGUGGCUGCGACUGUUUAUUAAAAACACAGCACUCUGCAAAGACGAAAGUCGACGUAUAGGGUGUGAUGCCUGCCCGGUGCUGGAAGAUUAAUUGAUGGGGUGCAAGCUCCUGAUCGAAGUCCCAGUAAACGGCGGCCGUAACUAUAACGGUCCUAAGGUAGCGAAAUUCCUUGUCGGGUAAGUUCCGACCUGCACGAA